UUCUAGUGGCGGACGGGUGAGUAACGCGUGGGUAACCUGCCUUAUACAGGGGGAUAACAGUCAGAAAUGGCUGCUAAUACCGCAUAAGACCACAGCACCGCAUGGUGCAGGGGUAAAAACUCCGGUGGUAUGAGAUGGACCCGCGUCUGAUUAGUUAGUUGGUGGGGUAACGGCCUACCAAGGCGACGAUCAGUAGCCGACCUGAGAGGGUGACCGGCCACAUUGGGACUGAGACACGGCCCAAACUCCUACGGGAGGCAGCAUG
rnacentral:rRNA from 1 species